CUGGUCCCACCUGACCCCAUGCCGAACUCAGAAGUGAAACGCCGUAGCGCCGAUGGUAGUGUGGGGUCUCCCCAUGUGAGAGUAGGGAACUGCCA
rnacentral:rRNA from 1 species